GUGGCCCCAAGUCAGGCGAGGCUCACCCGCCGAGUUUAA
rnacentral:rRNA from 1 species